rnacentral:rRNA from 1 species
CACGUAGGGCGCGAGCGUUGUCCGGAAUUAUUGGGCGUAAAGAGCUCGUAGGCGGUUUGUUAAGUCGGAUGUGAAAUCCCUCGGCUCAACUGAGGAAGUGCAUCCGAAACUGGCAGGCUUGAGUACUAAAGAGGGUCGCGGAAUUCCCGGUGUAGAGGUGAAAUUCGUAGAUAUCGGGAGGAACACCGGUGGCGAAGGCGGCGACCUGGGUAGAUACUGACGCUGAGGUGCGAAAGCGUGGGGAGCAAACAGG